rnacentral:rRNA from 2 species
AAAUUGAAGAGUUUGAUCAUGGCUCAGAUUGAACGCUGGCGGCAGGCCUAACACAUGCAAGUCGAACGGUAACAGGAAGCAGCUUGCUGCUUUGCUGACGAGUGGCGGACGGGUGAGUAAUGUCUGGGAAACUGCCUGAUGGAGGGGGAUAACUACUGGAAACGGUGGCUAAUACCGCAUAACGUCGCAAGACCAAAGAGGGGGACCUUCGGGCCUCUUGCCAUCAGAUGUGCCCAGAUGGGAUUAGCUUGUUGGUGAGGUAACGGCUCACCAAGGCGACGAUCCCUAGCUGGUCUGAGAGGAUGACCAGCCACACUGGAACUGAGACACGGUCCAGACUCCUACGGGAGGCAGCAGUGGGGAAUAUUGCACAAUGGGCGCAAGCCUGAUGCAGCCAUGCCGCGUGUAUGAAGAAGGCCUUCGGGUUGUAAAGUACUUUCAGCGGGGAGGAAGGUGUUGUGGUUAAUAACCGCAGCAAUUGACGUUACCCGCAGAAGAAGCACCGGCUAACUCCGUGCCAGCAGCCGCGGUAAUACGGAGGGUGCAAGCGUUAAUCGGAAUUACUGGGCGUAAAGCGCACGCAGGCGGUCUGUCAAGUCGGAUGUGAAAUCCCCGGGCUCAACCUGGGAACUGCAUUCGAAACUGGCAGGCUUGAGUCUUGUAGAGGGGGGUAGAAUUCCAGGUGUAGCGGUGAAAUGCGUAGAGAUCUGGAGGAAUACCGGUGGCGAAGGCGGCCCCCUGGACAAAGACUGACGCUCAGGUGCGAAAGCGUGGGGAGCAAACAGGAUUAGAUACCCUGGUAGUCCACGCCGUAAACGAUGUCUACUUGGAGGUUGUGCCCUUGAGGCGUGGCUUCCGGAGCUAACGCGUUAAGUAGACCGCCUGGGGAGUACGGCCGCAAGGUUAAAACUCAAAUGAAUUGACGGGGGCCCGCACAAGCGGUGGAGCAUGUGGUUUAAUUCGAUGCAACGCGAAGAACCUUACCUGGUCUUGACAUCCACGGAAGGUCUCAGAGAUGAGACUGUGCCUUCGGGAACCGUGAGACAGGUGCUGCAUGGCUGUCGUCAGCUCGUGUUGUGAAAUGUUGGGUUAAGUCCCGCAACGAGCGCAACCCUUAUCCUUUGUUGCCAGCGAUUAGGUCGGGAACUCAAAGGAGACUGCCAGUGAUAAACUGGAGGAAGGUGGGGAUGACGUCAAGUCAUCAUGGCCCUUACGACCAGGGCUACACACGUGCUACAAUGGCGCAUACAAAGAGAAGCGACCUCGCGAGAGCAAGCGGACCUCAUAAAGUGCGUCGUAGUCCGGAUUGGAGUCUGCAACUCGACUCCAUGAAGUCGGAAUCGCUAGUAAUCGUGGAUCAGAAUGCCACGGUGAAUACGUUCCCGGGCCUUGUACACACCGCCCGUCACACCAUGGGAGUGGGUUGCAAAAGAAGUAGGUAGCUUAACCUUCGGGAGGGCGCUUACCACUUUGUGAUUCAUGACUGGGGUGAAGUCGUAACAAGGUAACCGUAGGGGAACCUGCGGUUGGAUCACCUCCUUA